GGGUUGUGAGGUUAAGCGACUAAGCGUACACGGUGGAUGCCCUGGCAGUCAGAGGCGAUGAAGGGCGUGCUAAUCUGCGAUAAGCGCCGGUAAGGUGAUAUGAACCGUUAUAACCGGCGAUACCCGAAUGGGGAAACCCAGUGUGACUCGUCACACUAUCAUUAACUGAAUCCAUAGGUUAAUGAGGCGAACCGGGGGAACUGAAACAUCUAAGUACCCCGAGGAAAAGAAAUCAACCGAGAUUCCCCCAGUAGCGGCGAGCGAACGGGGAGGAGCCCAGAGCCUGAAUCAGCAUGUGUGUUAGUGGAAGCGUCUGGAAAGGCGCGCGAUACAGGGUGACAGCCCCGUACACAAAAGCGCAUGUGCUGUGAGCUCGAUGAGUAGGGCGGGACACGUGGUAUCCUGUCUGAAUAUGGGGGGACCAUCCUCCAAGGCUAAAUACUCCUGACUGACCGAUAGUGAACCAGUACCGUGAGGGAAAGGCGAAAAGAACCCCGGCGAGGGGAGUGAAAAAGAACCUGAAACCGUGUACGUACAAGCAGUGGGAGCCCCACCACCAAAGCAUUUGCUGUACCGCGUUGACGGAGCGAAGCGACGUCAAACCGAUAAAACAGCAGUGUAAAGUGAGCCGCAGGGCGCUUUGCGCGACAGCGCAAAGGCAGGCGGUUUCGCGUAGCGAAAGCGAAUGCUUUGGGGUGGGGUGACUGCGUACCUUUUGUAUAAUGGGUCAGCGACUUAUAUUCUGUAGCAAGGUUAACCGAAUAGGGGAGCCGGAGGGAAACCGAGUCUUAAUUGGGCGUUAAGUUGCAGGGUAUAGACCCGAAACCCGGUGAUCUAGCCAUGGGCAGGUUGAAGGUUGGGUAACACUAACUGGAGGACCGAACCGACUAAUGUUGAAAAAUUAGCGGAUGACCUGUGGCUGGGGGUGAAAGGCCAAUCAAACCGGGAGAUAGCUGGUUCUCCCCGAAAGCUAUUUAGGUAGCGCCUCGUGAAUUCAUCUCCGGGGGUAGAGCACUGUUUCGGCUAGGGGGCCAUCCCGGCUUACCAACCCGAUGCAAACUGCGAAUACCGGAGAAUGUUAUCACGGGAGACACACGGCGGGUGCUAACGUCCGUCGUGAAGAGGGAAACAACCCAGACCGCCAGCUAAGGUCCCAAAGUCAUGGUUAAGUGGGAAACGAUGUGGGAAGGCCCAGACAGCCAGGAUGUUGGCUUAGAAGCAGCCAUCAUUUAAAGAAAGCGUAAUAGCUCACUGGUCGAGUCGGCCUGCGCGGAAGAUGUAACGGGGCUAAACCAUGCACCGAAGCUGCGGCAGCGACACUGUGUGUUGUUGGGUAGGGGAGCGUUCUGUAAGCCUGUGAAGGUGUGUCGUGAGGCAUGCUGGAGGUAUCAGAAGUGCGAAUGCUGACAUAAGUAACGAUAAAGCGGGUGAAAAGCCCGCUCGCCGGAAGACCAAGGGUUCCUGUCCAACGUUAAUCGGGGCAGGGUGAGUCGACCCCUAAGGCGAGGCCGAAAGGCGUAGUCGAUGGGAAACGGGUUAAUAUUCCCGUACUUGGUGUUACUGCGAAGGGGGGACGGAGAAGGCUAUGUUGGCCGGGCGACGGUUGUCCCGGUUUAAGCGUGUAGGUGUGUGUUCGGGUAAAUCCGGUUCACUUUAACACUGAGGCGUGACGACGAGGCACUACGGUGCUGAAGCAACAAAUGCCCUGCUUCCAGGAAAAGCCUCUAAGCAUCAGGUAACAUCAAAUCGUACCCCAAACCGACACAGGUGGUCAGGUAGAGAAUACCAAGGCGCUUGAGAGAACUCGGGUGAAGGAACUAGGCAAAAUGGUGCCGUAACUUCGGGAGAAGGCACGCUGACACGUAGGUGAAGUGAUUUACUCAUGGAGCUGAAGUCAGUCGAAGAUACCAGCUGGCUGCAACUGUUUAUUAAAAACACAGCACUGUGCAAACACGAAAGUGGACGUAUACGGUGUGACGCCUGCCCGGUGCCGGAAGGUUAAUUGAUGGGGUCAGCGCAAGCGAAGCUCCUGAUCGAAGCCCCGGUAAACGGCGGCCGUAACUAUAACGGUCCUAAGGUAGCGAAAUUCCUUGUCGGGUAAGUUCCGACCUGCACGAAUGGCGUAAUGAUGGCGGGCUGUCUCCACCCGAGACUCAGUGAAAUUGAACUCGCUGUGAAGAUGCAGUGUACCCGCGGCAAGACGGAAAGACCCCGUGAACCUUUACUAUAGCUUGACACUGAACAUUGAGCCUUGAUGUGUAGGAUAGGUGGGAGGCUUUGAAGUGUGGACGCCAGUCUGCAUGGAGCCGACCUUGAAAUACCACCCUUUAAUGUUUGAUGUUCUAACGUGGACCCGUUACCCGGGUUGCGGACAGUGUCUGGUGGGUAGUUUGACUGGGGCGGUCUCCUCCUAAAGAGUAACGGAGGAGCACGAAGGUUGGCUAAUCCUGGUCGGACAUCAGGAGGUUAGUGCAAUGGCAUAAGCCAGCUUGACUGCGAGCGUGACGGCGCGAGCAGGUGCGAAAGCAGGUCAUAGUGAUCCGGUGGUUCUGAAUGGAAGGGCCAUCGCUCAACGGAUAAAAGGUACUCCGGGGAUAACAGGCUGAUACCGCCCAAGAGUUCAUAUCGACGGCGGUGUUUGGCACCUCGAUGUCGGCUCAUCACAUCCUGGGGCUGAAGUAGGUCCCAAGGGUAUGGCUGUUCGCCAUUUAAAGUGGUACGCGAGCUGGGUUUAGAACGUCGUGAGACAGUUCGGUCCCUAUCUGCCGUGGGCGCUGGAGAACUGAGGGGGGCUGCUCCUAGUACGAGAGGACCGGAGUGGACGCAUCACUGGUGUUCGGGUUGUCAUGCCAAUGGCACUGCCCGGUAGCUAAAUGCGGAAGAGAUAAGUGCUGAAAGCAUCUAAGCACGAAACUUGCCCCGAGAUGAGUUCUCCCUGAGACUUAGAGUCUCCUGAAGGAACGUUGAAGACGACGACGUUGAUAGGCCGGGUGUGUAAGCGCAGCGAUGCGUUGAGCUAACCGGUACUAAUGAACCGUGAGGCUUAACCUUACAACGCCGAAG
rnacentral:rRNA from 1 species